ACGAACUGUAAAAGGGAGGAGUAAAUAGCAAUUACUACUGCACAAUCGCCAGCCUGGAAAGUUCUACUUCAGCAAACCAAGCUGUAACCAGAGUACUUCUCGUUGGUCAAUUUUGAAAAAGGCAAAGAAAAACUUUUUUUUUUUCUUUUUUUGGCCAGAUGCAGUGGCUCAGGCCUGUAAUCCCAGCACUUUGGGAGGCCAAGAUGGGAGGAUCACUUGAGCCCAGGAGGUCUAAGCUGAGGUAAGCCUUCAUUGCGCUACUGCACUCAGCCUGGGCGAGAGUGAGGCCCUGUCUCAAAAAGAUGUUUUAAAGAAAGCAUCACGAGGUUCAUCUGAUCUUUUUGCUUACUGCUCUGUCAAACCUAAGAACCAUUAAAAAAUCAGGAGCUGCCUACCGGGCUGAAAAGGGCUGCCGGUCUCCUAGAAGUUGUUAUUACAACGACAGCACUUUUUCUAAAUUAACAGUUGUUCAAAUCUUUGGUAAUCUCAUUUGCUGUUUGCCACAGCUCAGUGCAAUAGACUUUCACCGUGGGCACUGGGCAGCUGAGGCACCGGGACUCAGGGAAAUCAAGCGCCUGACGCUGUCUCACGCGAUCGCACCAAACCAAGGAAGCAGCCAGUGCCUCCCGUCAGGCCCCGCGGAGCGAAGCACCGCCCCGCAGGCAUCGGGCCAAUCUCAGAGGGCGCGCACGCCGCAUCAGGACCCCGGAACCCGCCCCGUUGGGGAUAGGGACAGAUGGAGAAUCCAGCUCAGACCCAGAUGUCUGUUCAGCAAAGACCAGAGCCCACUCUAUCCCAAACACAGGACUGUGUGUCAGUGAACAAGUAAAACAAGUCUAAAAAAGAAACCAUGGGCUAGGCGUGGUGGCUCACACCUGUAAUCCCAGCACUUUGGGAGGCCAAGGUGGGCGGAAUCACAAGAUUCAGUUCUUAAUAUGUAAAAACUGACAGAUAUAACAUCGUUGGAGUUUUUGAGAACCUUUAAGAGUAUCGAGGCAGAGAUCAAAAAGUUUAAGACUGGCUGCUCUACUUUACUAGACUUACUAGAAUAAUCUGGAUUAAAAAUUCCAUUUAAUCCACAUGUGACAAUAAUGUCUAAGAGGACUUAAGUGGAUUAAAAUAUAACUGUUACAAUCUAACAACAGGUGAACGAAUAAAAAAACUGUAGUAGAGCCACACAAUGGAAUACUACUCAGCAAUAAAGAGGAAUGAACUACUGAUACAUGAAA